AUUGAACGCUGGCGGCAGGCCUAACGCAUGCAAGUCGAGCGGAUGACGGGAGCUUGCUCCUGGAUUCAGCGGCGGACGGGUGAGUAAUGCCUAGGAAUCUGCCUGGUAGUGGGGGACAACGUUUCGAAAGGAACGCUAAUACCGCAUACGUCCUACGGGAGAAAGCAGGGGACCUUCGGGCCUUGCGCUAUCAGAUGAGCCUAGGUCGGAUUAGCUAGUUGGUGAGGUAAUGGCUCACCAAGGCGACGAUCCGUAACUGGUCUGAGAGGAUGAGCAGUCAAACUGGAACUGAGAAACGGUCCAGACUCCUACGGGAGGCAGCAGGGGGGAAUAUUGGACAAUGGGCGAAAGCCUGAUCCAGCCAUGCCGCGUGUGUGAAGAAGGUCUUCGGAUUGUAAAGCACUUUAAGUUGGGAGGAAGGGCAGUAAGCGAAUACCUUGCUGUUUUGACGUUACCGACAGAAUAAGCACCGGCUAACUCUGUGCCAGCAGCCGCCGUAAAAC
rnacentral:rRNA from 1 species